CGCGGCGUAGAGCAGUUGGUAGCUUGUCGGGCUCAUAACCCGGAGGUCGCAGGUUCGAGUCCUGCCGCCGCAACCA
rnacentral:tRNA from 1 species